rnacentral:lncRNA from 1 species
UGGAUCCGGAUAUGAGGACCUAGAUUGUUGGAUAUUCAACUAUCAGGUAAUGGGUUAUUAGGAUCUCGAGUUUUGGGAUUUUAGGUCUACAGAUAUGGAUACGAGGACCUGGGUCAUUGGAUAUUCAACUACCAAAUAAUGGGUCAUUGGGAUCUUGGUUUUUGGGAUUUCAGAUUUCGGAUAGUUGGGUUAUCGGGUAAUGGGUUAUUGGGAUCUUAAUUUUUAGGAUUUCGGAUUUUGUAAUGGAUUGACGAGUUUUUGAGUUUUAGAUUGUUUUCUAUUCUGGUUAGUGUAGAUAGCUAGGUUAGGGUUAGG